UUUGUAUGAAUAGUAGUUUGUUAUUCUUGUAUUAUACUGGAGAUAAAUAUUUAAAAAUGGAAAAUUGCUUUUUAUAAUGUAUUUGGUGAAGAAGUACUUAAUAAAUAAUAAUAAAAGAGCUGAUUUCAGAUUACAACAUAAACACAAAGUAAAUAAUUGACCUGAAAGUAAAUAACUACAAUUACCAUUUCAAAGGAAGUAGGUACCUAACUAAGUACCUAGAAAUGUUAUUGAAAAAGUGUUGGAAGUCAAAGAUGUUUGUCAAAGCAAUUAAAUCCUAUUAAUGCAGGUAAAAUUAUUUAAAGUUAUUGUGGAACAAAACGUACCAAAUGAUUACAAAGGUAAAGUUUCAGAAGGUUUAUAACCAGAUGCAGAUUAACCUUAAUGUUAUUGAAAAUAGACCAUUUGACCAAAAUUAGUGUCGAAGGGGAGAAGAAAAAAUAAGAUAUGCAUUUUUUCAGCAAUAUUUUAAUGUAUACCUUUAUAAAUAAAAAUGUUUAAUUGGAAAAUAUGAGUUUUACUAAAAAAUAAUUAAAUAUAAUAAAUAUUAUUUUCUAGGAAACUGUCAUUUUCUUCUUCUUCUUAAGGUUUUUGGCCUCUAACAGUCAGUUUUCGGUCAAUUUCUAGGUUAAAAGUAGUUCAAAACGAUCAACGUGCGACGUUGCCGUAUUUGUUCCAAAACCUUUUAGAGGAUUCCUCUAAAAUAAUAUUAUUUUAGCGGUCCUCUAUAAUAUGUGUUU